CGGGACACGGAGCACAGUUAGCUCCCUCAUCCUGCAGGAGAAAGAAACCCUUCCCUGCCUUCCAGGGACUUGCUCUUGCAGAUGGAGCCAGAGUAGCUCCUUUCCCAGGACUGAUCAGGAAGAACAAUAUGCAGUAAGCAUACUGAUACAGGAACCUGGUGCAGGAUCAGCAGAACUGGAGGACAGCCGAUGCAAGAAACAUGAAGUGCUCCGAGAUGGAACUAUAAAUGACGUGUAAACGGAUUAAAGGAAUGAGAGAACAA